CCUACGGGUGGCUGCAGUAGGGAAUCUUGCGCAAUGGGCGAAAGCCUGACGCAGCGACGCCGCGUGAGUGAUGAAGGCCUUCGGGUUGUAAAGCUCUGUGGGGAGAGAAGAAUAAGUGCUGGUUAACACCUUGCAUGAUGACGGUAUCUCCUUAGCAAGCACCGGCUAACUCUGUGCCAGCAGCCGCGGUAAGACAGAGGGUGCAAACGUUGUUCGGAAUCACUGGGCGUAAAGCGCGUGUAGGCGGCUUCUCAAGUCGGGUGUGAAAUCCCAGG
rnacentral:rRNA from 1 species